rnacentral:rRNA from 1 species
CCCGUAGGUGAACCUGCGGAAGGAUCAUAG